UAUGGCCACAUCACGUUGAAAUACCGAUUCCCGUUCAGUCACCGAAGUUAAGCAACUUCGAUCCUGGUCAGUACCUAGAUGGGUGACUGCUUGGGAAUGCCAAGUGCUGUAA